rnacentral:tRNA from 1 species
CGUUAUGAAGCUAAACUAGCAUUAACCUUUUAAGUUAAAGAGUGAGAGCCCGACUCUCCAUGACGA